rnacentral:rRNA from 1 species
GAUGAACGCUGGCGGCGUGCCUAACACAUGCAAGUCGAGCGAUUCUCUUCGGAGAAGAGCGGCGGACGGGUGAGUAACGCGUGGGUAACCUGCCCUGUACACACGGAUAACAUACCGAAAGGUAUGCUAAUACGAGAUAAUAUACUUUUAUCGCAUGGUAGAAGUAUCAAAGCUUUUGCGGGUACAGGCUGGACCCGCGUCUAAUUAGCUAGUUGGUAAGGUAACGGCUUACCAAGGCGACGAUCAGUAGCCGACCUGAGAGGGUGAUCGGCCACAUUGGAACUGAGACACGGUCCAAACUCCUACGGGAGGCAGCAGUGGGGAAUAGUGAACAAUGGGCGAAAGCCUGAUGCAGCAACGCCGCGUGAGCUAUGAGGGCCUUCGGGUCGUAAGGCUCUGUCCUCAAGGAAGAUAAUGACGGUACUUGAGGAGGAAGCCCCGGCUAACUACGUGCCAGCCGCCGCCGUAA